rnacentral:rRNA from 1 species
AGUUAGGAAAUGCAGGUCGGUUAAUACCCAACCUGUUUGACAAAGGCCCCAAAGGAAGCCACGGCUAACUCUGUGCCAGCAGCCGCGGUAAUACAGAGGUGGCAAGCGUUGUUCGGUAUUAUUGGGCGUAAAGAGCACGUAGGUGGUUUUGUAAGUCAGAUGUGAAAGCCUUCUGUUCAAAGGAAGAACGGCAUCUGAAACUGCAGAUCUUGAGUGUAGGAGGGGAGAGUGGAACUUCUGGU